rnacentral:tRNA from 1 species
ACCUGGGUGGCUCAGUCGGUUGAGCAUCUGACUUCUGCUCAGGUCAUGAUCUCACAGUUUGUGGGUUCAAGCCCCACAUCAGGCU